UAGCUUUUUGCACAUGGUCGUCGUGCUCCAUUCAUACGAGUUUCUUCUUUCGUCCUCUUCCUUCAUUGCACGGACGACAUGCAGAUGCUGAGAUGAGAUGCACGCAUGUGAAGUGAAACGAACUGAUGAAUCGGUCGACGACCCAUAAGGAUCGUGUGAGUUGGGGCACCGCUCGCCUCUGUCUACUGUUAGUCUGUUUGCUGAUCUCGCUCUGUAGACGCAUGUACGGAGAAGAACGAAGAAGCUACGGUUUUUUAUCCAUUCGAUCACCGGUUAAUAAUUACGGCUCCCUCCGUUUCAAAUUGUAAUUUAUUCUAAUUUUUUGAAAAUCAAAGCAUAUCAAGUCUGACCAAAUUUAUACAAUAAAAACUAACAUUCAUGAUACCAAAUAAGUAACUUUAGUUUCUUCAUUAAAUAUUUUUUCAUAGUAUAUCUAUUUGGUGUCAUAAAUCUUUGUAUUCCUCUCUAUAAUUUUGAUCAAACAUAAAAUGGUUUGACUCUUCAAUAAAAUUGGAAUGACUUACAAUUUAAAAGGGAGUAGCUAGUUAGAAUGCUUUUAAAAUUCUCCUGUUUGGUCGCCGUCAACUAAGGAUGGGUACUGUUUUUACGAUUACACUGCACGCAUACCACUUCACGUGCGCUUGAAUAUUUCUUUUUUAAUAUUCUCUUCCCAAAUUACUAUUCGUUUUGGCUUUUCUAGAUGCAUAGGACGUAGUAUACAUAUAGAAUUUUAGAUGCAGAUAUGUAUCUAGAAAACUCAAAACUCAAAAUGAAUAGUAAUUUGGGACGAAAGGAGUAUAUCCCAUCACACGCCUACAAUUAAAUCGCUGAAAGUCAGUACUCUCAUGAAUAUAUUAAUAUACAUGUGUGCAUCAUGAUUUCAACACUUCAAAUAUUUCUUUUCAGUAUAUACCCCAUCACACGCCUAGAGCUUAAAUCGCUGAAAGUUAGUACCCUCAUGAAUAUAUUAAUAUAUGUGCUUGUGUACAUCAGGAGUUUCAACACUAAUGGGUCUCCAUAGUAGUACGAAAGCUCAAAGUUGCUUCCCUCCGGUCUUCAAAUAGUCACCGGGACAAUACUUUAAUUAACCAUAAAUUAAUAAUAUCGAACGCAUUCAAAAUAUAGCAAAAACAAUUACUAUUGUGAAACUACUAUUUGAGACGAAACUAAUCACACCAUUCUUGUUAAUUUAAAAUACACAAAUAGACAUUAACGGUCAAAACUAAAAUAUAUUGACUGCAUAAACGCAGGGAGUAGCUUAGAUUAUCAUUAUGAACUACGUUAACAUAAACUCAUAAACUAACUUUUAAUAUGUGUUAGAUGAAUAAACUGUUAACUGUGUAUGCUUACUCAUAUAAAGAACCUUGAAUCAGUACCAAGCUAACUUUUCAAGAUUCUCAAUGUGUGUGGAUUUUCUCUAGACUCCACCAACUCUAAAUGGACGAGUAGAGGCCCAAAAGAACAAUUGCUCCAAGGGCUAGGAAAUGCAGUGAGCAUAGGACCUUGCUCUUUUCUUUUACACUUCAACUUGUCUCUGGUCAUUCGUCUUGUACGGUCAAAACUCCAACGAGUAUAUUUUUUGAAUCGUCGGAUCUUUUGACGCUCCUCUAGGAUCUUCCUACCAGUGGAAUUUAGUAAACACAUCAGAUCUUCCUAUGCUACUUUCGGAUGGAUAUUCUAAUAGCCACUUUUCUAAUUUGAACAUAACUUUUUACUCCAUGAUAUAGUUUUAAUAAUCUUAGACUCUAAAGGAAGCUUGUGAAAUGCUCUCAAGAUUGUCCAAAAAUCCAUACCAUUUGAUCAGACCAAAAAUAUGCAUUUUUUGUAUGCAUGGAAGUUUCUUUGAAACUUCUUGACUGUUCCAUCAAAUCUUCCGAGAGAUGACCACUUUUUGUAUUUUGGCAUAACUUUCUACUCUUGCCUCCGAUUUUGUUGAUCCUAAGAAUAUAUAGAAAUAUUGUGAAACACACUACAAGAUUAUCCAUAAAUCAAUCCCAUUUGAUCAAACCAAAAUAUAAAUAGUAUGUGACAACAAAUCCAGUUCAUUUCUCUCUUCAUUAUGAUUUUGUGGGUCUUUUGUGUUGUAUCUUUGGAACCUAUGAAGCCCUAUAAAUAUUUAUUUUUGAGAAAUACAUUAGUCCUAAUAACAAUAUUAUCUUUCAAUCACAAGAAUCACAGAUAAUGGCUUACGGGCCAUUUUGCUCAUACUUAGCUUAGUGUUUUAACAAUGCCAAGACACGUAAACACAUGUAUUCUUAUCCCUAUAACAUGUACACACACCCUACUCUUUAGGACUCCCUCCGUUCCAAAUUAUAGGUCGUUUUGAUUUUUCUAGGUUCAUACAUAUUAUUAUGCACCUAGACAUACACUAUAUCCAGAUGCAUAAUAAUAUCUAUGAACCUAAAAAUGCUAAAACGACCUACAAUUUGGAACGGAAGGAGUAUGUCAAGAUUAAUAAAAGGAACUACUCCUCCGAGAAAAUCUUAAGACUAACGAAGUUAAUACACGUAAUACUGCAGAAACUCUUAUCUAUGUCGGCUCAGCAAAAUUGGAGCCAGCACAGCUAGUCAUCCUUGCUGGCUCAUAAUAGAAGCAUCGUUAAGUCUACCAAGUGUUAUCCAUAGAAAUUUGUAGGCAACAUGAGUCAACUGGCGGUCCAUGCCGGCUCCAAUACUUUUGCAAAGAAACAUAAGGUAAUAAGGAAGUAAGUAACCUAACUUUUAGACUUUGUUUAGAAACAUAAGUAAUCCCCUCCAAUCCAUACAUAUUGGGAGAGAUUAAGGGGAAAAUCAGUUUGUUUUGCACUCCAAUAUUUAGGAGAGAUGAGUAUAUAUGUCCAAACAAAAGGCCAUAUAGCACAACGUGCUCAAUACAGGAAAAACGCCAACUAAGUAUAAACAUCUUUGCCAACUAAGGUAAGACAAGAAAUUAACCUACUACCUCUUUUUCGUCGUUGUGAUCAUGAGCUUAAAAGCAGUGUUCCGGAGGACGAACCGACAGGUCCGAGGGGGGCAAACCACCGCCAUCAUCGCUCCUCGCGAGCGGCGCGGCGCA